rfam:Capsicum annuum cultivar Zunla-1 chromosome 3, whole genome shotgun sequence
UUGAGCCGGAUGAAAGGAAACUUUCACGUUCGAUUUUGAAGGGGGGGAGAUCCUAUAGAAUCCUAUCCCAAU